rnacentral:rRNA from 1 species
CGCCUUGCCAGCCCGCUCAGAACUUAAAGGAAUUGACGGGGCCGCACAAGCGUGGAGUAUGUGGUUUAAUUCGAUGCAACGCGAAGAACCUUACCUGGUCUUGACAUCCCGGAGACCCUUAGGAAACUAGGGGGUGCUUCCAUCUGGAAGAAUCUGGAGACAGGUGCUGCAUGGCUGUCGUCAGCUCGUGUCGUGAGAUGUUGGGUUAAGUCCCGCAACGAGCGCAACCCUUGCCUUUAGUUGCCAGCAGUUCGGCUGGGCACUCUAAAGGGACUGCCGGUGUUAAACCGGAGGAAGGUGGGGAUGACGUCAAGUCCUCAUGGCCUUUAUGACCAGGGCUACACACGUACUACAAUGGCCGAUACAAAGGGCAGCGACACUGCGAGGUGAAGCCAAUCCCGUAAAAUCGGUCUCAGUCCGGAUUGGAGUCUGCAACUCGACUCCAUGAAGUUGGAAUCGCUAGUAAUCGUGGAUCAGCAUGCCACGGUGAAUACGUUCCCGGGCCUU